UAGUGCCUAUUGUUCAAAGGAUGCAGUC
rnacentral:piRNA from 1 species